GAUUUUGCACAACACAUUUGAAAUUACCAAUUAGUCUUGUUAUUUAAGAUUUGUGUUUUGCCUUUGUUGGAACUUGGUCUGUGGAUGCAUGUAUGGUCUCUCUUUGCUUCUUAGUUGUUGUUUUUUUAGUUAAGAAUUCCUGCAAUUGACAUCCUUGAUUCUUAGAUCUACCUUGUAACAGAAUAAAGCAGAACCUUCCCCACUGAGAACAUCGCUCCACCUCCAAACUCUCCUGAGGACAUUGCUUCACCUAGGAUGCUUGGCUAUGGACAUCAAUAACUAACGUGGGUGUGCAUGAGUCAGAGACCAAGGUGAUAAAGUAGGGUGACAAAGACAGAUAGUUCGAUGUCCUGCCCCCUUCCCUUCUGCCCCAUCUUCUUUCGCCUGAUUCAGUCUGCCUCCAAUUAUGGUUCCACACGAGAUCCUGAUGGAGUCAUGAACAGGUGAAAAGACGAAAGAAGAAACACGAGGGAUGAGAGGAGGAGGGAAGCAACGCUUUGGAUCUUGCGCUCUGUAAUGGAGCCGUCCUGUGCGUCAUCCCGCCUGGAUUAGAAUUCCGGCUCGUAUAAAUAGGAGGGAUAUUUUUAGUCCUUUGGAGUCUGUCCUCUUCUUCCCAGCCCUGCCUCCCUUCCCUGAAGAGUAUUAAUUACCAACCAUCCAUUCAGACUAAUAAUAUGCUUAUUAAUGCUCGAACCCAAGCGAAAAGGAAGCAUUGUAUGUGAAUCCACAGCAUCUUAAUGAGUCAGGCCAUUAAAAGGACAGCAGAAGGACACAAACAAUUAUAGCGGCAUCAACCGGGAGAUUCCCAGAGGCUUUUCAUUUUAUUUUUGGACAGCAUGUAAAACGAUUAAGCUAUUAGCAUGUUUUACAAUAAUGAUCAACUAGACCAAAGAGCGAGAGAACAUGGAAGAAUAUGAGAGGGAGAGAGCGAGAGAGUAUUCAUUCACUGUCAUCCAGAUGGUCUGAGCGCAAGCAAAAAUCUGACCACUUUCUUAUCAUCCAAAAGAGCAACCAGAAACCAAAACUUCUGAAAGGAAGAAUAUAGUAAUUUAUUCACUCUUACACUUCCUGUAUCUCUCUGUAUUUCUCUUUCACAUACAAAGCAGUAUCACACAUUAGCUAUCCUGACAGCAGCCCAAUGCGCAGAAACUGGUGUUUAAUAAUGCACUCAAUAUGUUUUAUUGAAACUAAAAGUAGAAAAUGACUA